UACACCCCUGACGGUUGAAACACCGUUUAAUCGCCCUUAUGGGAAGGAUGAGUGGAAAUAUAAGCCGAUGCAGACCAUCCCGUUCCGGCGGUCGUACCGGUAAGGAUGGAGGCGAAUAGAA
ncrna:unclassified sequences RT-4 RNA